rnacentral:lncRNA from 1 species
AAAUACUAGUCUAUCCUUGUCUAAAUUUGAUAUCUAAUUUAAUUGUUUUUUAUAAGAAUGUCUGUGACACCUAUCAUUACCCGAAAGUUUAAAAUAAUAUAAUUUAAAUAAAACAAUAAAAAUAUAAAAUAUAAAAGUAGUUUGUAUUAACAAAAAAGUAUCCUCUUCCCCAUCAUUACCAAGCUUUGAAGAAAACAAUAUUUUCAUCUCUUCAACACCAAAGUGUAGGGGAUGCAUAGUUAAGACAAUGUUCCUAACAUCCCCAUUAAAAUCUGCAACAUAUUGUCCCAAAAAAUUAUUCGAUUUUUCCCUUGAGCAGCGCUCCGCAUAAUCCUGUAGGCAAAUCAAGAAGAAGAUGAAGAAAAAAAAGCAUGAAAAUGCUAACAACCUCAUCCCCACCUUGAAUUAUAAAAAAAAUAAAAAGGAAAAAAGAGCAUGAAAGUUGUUUAAGCAAUUUAGCAUGCUAUAAUUCAAUUUCCAACCAAAGGAAGUUCCUUUGGUAACAAAAAUUCAAACUUUACAACGAAAACCAGAUUAGCAUUUCGCCCAUUGGCUUUCGAUGUUCACUUCUGAGCCCACGAUAUGGGUUCAAUCACAGGGAUCGUAGGAAUCACUAGUGUGUGGUGUGUGCAUGUGUGGCAGUUGAAUGAGAUGUAUUCAUAAAAAAGCUAACAAAAAUUAUUACAAGGAAAAUGAAAAAAGUAUGGGGUAUUGAUCGAAAAAGAAAGGCCCAAAAGCCUUAGAUGGGCUCUUAGCCUCGCAAGCUCAAAUGCUUGCCCAAAGACUUCCCUUUUGAAGCUUUUACAAACCAUCACCAACUCAACGAAUCGACAAUUAGAUUUGGGUACAAGCCCAAGCGGUCUCGGCUAGCCACAAACACUUUGCUGGGGAAAUUAAAUAAAAUUGUAAUCAGUAAUUCAGUUGUUUGGUUGAAUGGAAUGGAAUAAAACUGUAAUAGUAUUCUUGUGUUUGAUUGAAUGAAAUAGAUAUUGUAAUAGCAUAAGGAAAAAUGCUUAAAUGAUUAGAAUACCCUUAACAGAAUUUUUAUAGAUAGAUUAUUAAUGUUUUUAAAUUUUAAUAGAACUACUAUUAAAUACAAAUUAAUAAAAAUAAUAAUAUAUAAUUUAAUAAUAUUCUUAAUAUAAUUUGGUUCAUCUAUAGAGAAAGGAUGUAGUUUUGACAUUUUGCAAGAGGAAUCUAUGUAGACCAAUUCCCGAAAAAUGCUACCCUCUCAUCCCACACACACUUACCUUUUUUUCCUAUGGGUGAUUCCAACCAUAAAUUUUUACACAAUUUCUUUUACUAAAUCUACUACAUCAUCUUACUACAUGUAUAAUAUGAAGGGCAACAUAAUCUCAUGGAAUCAUAGUUACCAAAAUUAAAAAUACUGAUCCAAAAACAAUAAUCGUUCUCAUAUUUAUAUAUAUGAAAAACAUCAAACAUUUAUACACCAAACAAACCCAGCGGUGACAUUUAAACAUCUAUACAUCAAAUAUCCAACUAGCAUUAAACAAUGUCUAACCCUAUAUACAUGUUUGUAAUGAUUUCAUGAUCAUACUAAAACUUCUCAAAGUGAAUUAGUAACAGAACUAGAAAUGAAAUGCCAUAUUCAUUGUGACAUUUAAACAAACUAGAAAUGAAAUGCCAUAUUCAUUGUGACAUUUAAACAAACAUUGUCCAAUCCCAAACUUCACUUGUAAUCUCCUUUACAAUGACAUUUCUAAUUAUUAUCCCCAUAUCCCUCUUCUAGGAUUCAAAACCAUUCUUCCAUUCUUAGGUUGAAUUAAUUAUAUCCAGCUCCAACAAUUGCUUAAUGUUGGAUUCAUCUCCACAUUGUUUUCCCUAUCCCUUCAUAUUCUCACAUUUAACAUCUCUUCAUUAGAUCCUUUAAAUCUCUGUCCUUUCUGUUCCUUCUCAUGGUUAUUUUCCACCAACUCCCUAACACAAUCAAAGAGAAGCUACUUUGUUCGUUGCAAAACCCUCUUUGACAUAGAUGAUAGCCAGGAAGAAGUAGACCAGUGAGGCACUUUAAGUUGUUUGAAUCCUACACAACUCGAUUUUUUGGUCUAUGUUGAAGAAGUAAAUUCAAGAGCCAAGCUGACAAUAUUGAGUCCUCCUUUAUUUGCUUAGACCAAAACAACCUUUUGUUGGAAACUUGUUAUCUUGUUGCUUUUUAACUUUAGGGGAAUUAGUAAUGAAUUCUAAUCAAAAGGGAAAGUAAUUAUGAAAGCUUAUAUCAACUUUAAAUAUACUAACAAUUAUCAAGUGGGUAGCUGCUUGUUGAAGUAGAUACUUGUUCUUCUAUGCAUCUCCAUUCAAACUUUAUAUCUGCAGCAGCCUGUUUAGCUAUGUGAGUUUCAACUAGAAUCUUGCACCAUUAAAAAGAUUAAAAAGAAGAAUAAGCAUCCAAGAGCUUGAAGCUCAAAAUGCUCCUAAAUCAACAUACCUUACAUGUCAAGAUCCAUGUAAGGACCUUACCCCCUUUAUCUUCCUCCUUAAAAAAGCUGAAAUAAUAUGAUGCUAAACAAUAUAAAAUUAGCUUAAAAUUUUGAUUUCAUUGAAAUCAAGAAACCAAUCAAAGCUAUAAACAUCCAUCAAGAAGGAAAAUUUGGCUAGCUUUAAUCUAUUCUCCAUCAAAAGAGAAAAAGAUAUUAACCGCUUGAAAUGAAACUCAACAAAUCAUCCCCACACUUGAAAAAAAAAAGAAAGAAAAUAAGAAAAACCUUUCAUGAAUGCCUAGAAAAUCCCACACAAGCAACCAAAUAAACAAGUAAUUCAUCAGGAAAAAAAAAAGAGAAGAAAAUAGGAUGCUAUUACUAGCCAAUUAGUAAACCUUUCUAAUUAAAGAAAAGGAAAAACUUUGCAUAAGAAAUUUAAACAUACAGAUUAUUUUGUGCGGAAAUUGCAUAAAAUGUAAAAGAAAAAAAAGGAAAAAAAUGAGAAAUUUAAAUAUACAAAUUAUUUUUUCCUCAUUUUGUUUUUUAUCUUCUUUGUUGUUAUAAAAGCAAAGAAAGACCUUUUGCCGGUAAAAACUAAAAAAGAACAAAAGAAAAACAAAACCAAAAAAUAGUAAAAGAAAGUUAAAUUUUCAAUUGAGAAAGGAAUUUCAGAAAUCCAGAUCAAAUGCAAACAUCAAAGACUAAUAAUUUUUAGUUUUCAAGUUUUUGAACAGUUUUAAGAAAAAAACAACUAAAAAAUUCAAAGAAAACUCAAGGAUCAAAGACUCAUAUUGUUUAGUUUUCAAAAAGCUUGAAUCUCACCCAUGAAAAUUGAUGCUUACCUAGAGACAAAUUCGAUGUUCUGAGCUUUCUUUCUCUCAAUUUGAAAGAAAUACGAAAAGUGAAUAUUGAUAAGAAAACGGUGAAAGAAUAACCUCCCAGGUUUUUAUCAAUUAUAAGCUUGUAAAUUUGUUAUUUUUUAGGGGUAUGCUGGGAACAAAAUUUUUUUAAGUGAGUUCUUAUAUUUGCUGAAUAGCCAUUACAAUGGCUGAGUGCUGAAUACCCAUUUAGCAUUUUUAACAAAUGGAGUAGGAAUAACCAUUCAACGUUUUUAACCAUUUUGUGGGAUUAUUUGAACCAAACAAUGGAAUGGUGGUCCCCUCAGAAUUUAG